rnacentral:pre_miRNA from 1 species
UUUUGUGGAUGAGCAAAAUAAGUUGUUUCUUGAGUUGGAAUUUACUCCUGGUGAAGAUGCUGUGAA